UCACUGACGAGGAGUCCCACAAUAGGACGAAACAGCUGUCUAGUAC
rnacentral:hammerhead_ribozyme from 1 species